CUGGCCUCGUUUACCAAAUCAACAUCGCCCCUAAGAAAAUUGGAUUCAAUGAGAAGGUGUAUGUUGUUGAUCUGAAGAAAGGAGACUGUAAGGAAGGGCCAUACGAGGGUGGAAC